rnacentral:rRNA from 1 species
UACGUAGGGUGCAAGCGUUAAUCGGAAUUACUGGGCGUAAAGCGUGCGCAGGCGGUUAUAUAAGACAGUUGUGAAAUCCCCGGGCUCAACCUGGGAACUGCAUCUGUGACUGUAUAGCUAGAGUACGGUAGAGGGGGAUGGAAUUCCGCGUGUAGCAGUGAAAUGCGUAGAUAUGCGGAGGAACACCGAUGGCGAAGGCAAUCCCCUGGACCUGGUACUGACGCUCAUGCACGAA